CCUACGGGGUGCAGCAGUGGGGAAUAUUGGGCAAUGGGCGCAAGCCUGACCCAGCGACGCCGCGUGAGGGAAGACGGUCUUCGGAUUGUAAACCUCUUUCAGCAGGGAAGACAAAAGGACGGUACCUGCAGAAGAAGCCCCGGCUAACUACGUGCCAGCAGCCGCGGUAAUACGUAGGGGGCGAGCGUUAUCCGGAAUUACUGGGUGUAAAGGGAGCGUAGACGGCGAGGUAAGCCUGAAGUGGAAGCCCGCGGCCCAACCGCGGAACUGCUUUGGGAACUGUUUUGCUGGAGUAUGGGAGGGGUAAGCGGAAUUCCUGGUGUAGCGGUGAAAUGCGUAGAUAUCAGGAGGAACACCGGUGGCGAAGGCGGCUUACUGGACCAUAACUGACGUUGAGGCUCGAAAGCGUGGGGAGCGAACAGGAUUAGAUACCCCUGUAGUC
rnacentral:rRNA from 1 species